AAGAGGUGUAUGAACACCU
rnacentral:tRNA from 1 species